UACGUAGGGGGCAAGCGUUAUCCGGAUUUACUGGGUGUAAAGGGAGCGUAGACGGCCAGACAAGUCAGAAGUGAAAGCCCAGGGCUCAACCCUGGGACUGCAUUUGAAACUGCUGUUCUUGAGUGAAGUAGAGGUAAGCGGAAUUCCUAGUGUAGCGGUGAAAUGCGUAGAUAUUAGGAGGAACAUCGGUGGCGAAGGCGGCUUACUGGGCUUUUACUGACGCUGAGGCUCGAAAGCGUGGGGAGCAAAAAGG
rnacentral:rRNA from 1 species